rnacentral:ncRNA from 1 species
CCAAAUUUUAAAACAGAUGGCAGUCACGUCUUUGGUAUUGUUGCAAAUAUAUCAUAAUAUUUCGCAAAUUUAAAAAUUGGAAUUUGAAGGAGUAUAUUGUAGUUAUGUUCCGAAGCGAUUCUGACGCGCAAAUCGAUCAUCUGACUUUAGUAUAAAGAUGAGAGACUAAUCGAGCAGUCCAGUAGCUGGUUUCCUCUGAAAUUUCCAUCAGUAUAGCUGGAGUACGUAGUGAAGCUAUCCGGUAAAGCGACUGAUUAGAGAAAUUGUGGGAUGAAACGUUUUCAAAAAUCCUCAAACUUUCGAUGAGUAUGACGUCUCGUGAUUAGAGAAAUCGUGGGAUGAAACGUUUUCAACAAUUCU